ensembl:lncRNA
CAGAAACUGUCUGCUCUGAAGCAAGUCUCAUUGGCUGUCUGUCCUUAAAAGGCAGAUGUGCUUUUUUUCUUUCACAAACAGUCAGUACAAUUACAGCACCUUCCAUUCUCUCUGAACUGUGGCACCCAAGGCCCUUUGUGGUCCAGCUCCCACUCCUGAGUACUCGAGGCUUUACUCGCCAACUGAACAGCAGUGGCACCAGGUUGCACCAAGGGGUGUAUCAGUCAAUCUCCAUGUCCUAUCAAAUGGACUCAAUUGUCCAGUGGCAGAUGUGAGGGGAAUAAAACGAGAACAGGACAAGCAAACAGUAGUAUGUCCCCAGCACCAUUCUCUCAUCCUCCAGUUCCUUCCAGCUCAAGGAUUUCCUGAACCUGAGGUUUGUUCCUGAAGGUCAGAACUAUAUCGUGCUCUUCAGUGAUGACCCCCAUCAUACUUGAAGUUAUUGUGAGAAAGAAUACAACAAAGUGAUACUUCCUGUUGCAAGGAAGCAGCAAAUCCGUUCCACUUUGGAGAUAAUGAUACUGACCAGGCUAUUGUUGGUGGGUACUGUGAUUUUAUGAAAGCCUAGAUAGCAAGUGGAUAUAGCAGUUUGUUAUGUCUGCUAAGUAUUGCAAUAAGGUCCUGGCCCAAGCUUGUCCACUUGUGUACCGAAAUUAUGACAGAUUCAAGGAACACAGUAACAUUAUUUGAUAAGUUCUCAGCUACAAAACAGGAUGUUCCAACAUAGUCACCAUUAUCAGCUAUGCAUUUUCACCAGUGAUGAACAAGACAUGCUUCAGACAUGCUUAAAGAGAUGCCAGUAAAUGCCAGCAUGUUGAAAUCAAUAGUGGGAUAUGGAGAUUUUCCAGCGUGCCACACCUGGCCCAGACAGAGCGGGGAGUGGUGCCUUUGUUGCCAUGUGCAAGCACUGACCACCUUUUGCAGUGGUCAGCUUCUUCAAGCUGCGCCCCUGAAAAAGUCUGCUUGUCCUGCUUCUUCUUAUCUUUACAAUCAUAAGCACAUGGUGCUGGGCGCAUGGGGGAUUGUUCCACCAACAUGCACACUGAGAGAAGCAGAGACUACGUGUAAAAAGUUUUCAUUGAAACAAAUAGAAGACAUUAUUUUCAGAUGACCUAUGUUUAAUUUUCUGCUGGCACUCUAAUACAGACUUCUCCAUAACAACUUAAUCCUUCUUACUUUGGAAACUGAUAAGCAGAUAUGAGGAACAGAAAUAAUUGCAGUUCUGAUCUUGAAUAGAACCAAAAAUCAUUGUGCAAAUGUUCAUGAAGUUCCCACAUUCAGCCUCACCAGCUUCUGAAGACUGGGGAAGAUUGUAGGCUUUCUUUAUUGGAUGGAACUUCCUCAUCACAUAUUCAGAAGUUUGUCUGUGUUAAUAUGCAUGGUAUUUUUUUUAACUUCCAACAGCCCAAAUCUCUUUUGUUGACAACCUAUUUAGUGCUUUUUUUUUUUUUUUUUUUAACUUGCAUUUGUUCAAGUGCUUUGGAUAGGAUUAUUGAAUAAGCCUUAGAAUAAGUCAUAAUGUGUUUAGUGAUGGAAAACCAGGUACAGUGUCAUUUCCUUUGUUCAUAAUGAUGCCUGCAUUUUCAUUACAGAAAUACUCAUUGUCUUUAUCUCUUUCAGCUGUGUUAACUAUUAAAACAGUUUCUUUGAUCUACAUUAUUUUGUCUCUUGUACAUUUAUAGAUCCUUUGCCAUGACAAACAAUUUCUUGACAGUGACAAGGAACUUUGCUUAUGUCUAAUAGGAUGUUCUAUACACAGGCUAGAUGGUAUGCCUCAUACGUUGUGUAUUGACUUGUUUUAAAAACAAGUAAAUGAGAUUUGACAAAGAAUGUGAGAAAAUGUACUUUGGAAGAAUGAAAGAAAUGAAGUUAGCAUCGUGUCUUCAUAAAUCUUAGACUCUCUGUAUUCAAAUGCAAUCACUUGCCCCAGUAAAGGAAAUGUAUUAUUCAUGGCCUCAUACAUCUUGUAAAAUGAUGUGAUUGGUUUUUUCUACAUUCUCUGACAAGAUCUUAUGCAGAAGUACGAAUAAAUAAAAUAAUGGUGCAUAAAAGGUUUAAGUAGUCACAGCUAAUUUUAUCA